CCUACGGGUGGCAGCAGUAAGGAAUAUUGGUCAAUGGACGAAAGUCUGAACCAGCCAUCCCGCGUGCAGGAUGAAAGCCCUAUGGGUUGUAAACUGCUUUUAGCAGAGAAGAAAAGCUUUCAUUAAUGAGAGUCUGACGGUAUCUGCAGAAUAAGCACCGGCUAACUCCGUGCCAGCAGCCGCGGUAAUACGGAGGGUGCGAGCGUUAUCCGGAAUUACUGGUGCUAAGGGGUAGGUAGGCGGAAGUGUAGAAAGCUUGUCGCUUAACGAUAAAAGUGCCAAUGAUACUGGUACUCUUGAAUUGGGUUGAGGUUAGCGGAAUGUGACAUGUAGCGGUGAAAUGCAUAGAGAUGUCAUGGAACACCAAUUGCGAAGGCAGCUAACUGGGCCUUGAUUGACGCUGAGGCACGAAAGCGUGGGUAGCGAACAGGAUUAGAUACCCGGGUAGUC
rnacentral:rRNA from 1 species